AGUGAACGCUGGCGGUAGGCCUAACACAUGCAAGUCGAACGGCAGCACAGUAAGAGCUUGCUCUUACGGGUGGCGAGUGGCGGACGGGUGAGGAAUACAUCGGAAUCUACUUUUUCGUGGGGGAUAACGUAGGGAAACUUACGCUAAUACCGCAUACGACCUACGGGUGAAAGCAGGGGAUCUUCGGACCUUGCGCGAUUGAAUGAGCCGAUGUCGGAUUAGCUAGUUGGCGGGGUAAAGGCCCACCAAGGCGACGAUCCGUAGCUGGUCUGAGAGGAUGAUCAGCCACACUGUAACUGAGACACGGUCCAGACUCCUACGGGAGGCAGCAGUGGGGACUAUUGGACAAUGGGCGCAAGCCUGAUCCAGCCAUACCGCGUGGGUGAAGAAGGCCUUCGGGUUGUAAAGCCCUUUUGUUGGGAAAGAAAAGCAGCAGGUUAAUACCCCGCUGUUCUGACGGUACCCAAAGAAUAAGCACCGGCUAACUUCGUG
rnacentral:rRNA from 1 species